rnacentral:rRNA from 1 species
UACGUAGGGGGCUAGCGUUGUCCGGAAUCAUUGGGCGUAAAGCGCGUGUAGGCGGCCCGGUAAGUCCGCUGUGAAAGUCGGGGGCUCAACCCUCGAAUGCCGGUGGAUACUGUCGGGCUAGAGUGCGGAAGAGGCGAGUGGAAUUCCUGGUGUAGCGGUGAAAUGCGCAGAUAUCAGGAGGAACACCAAUGGCGAAGGCAGCUCGCUGGAACGGAACUGACGCUGAGGCGCGAAAGCGUGGGGAGCGAACAGG